rnacentral:snoRNA from 1 species
UAUCCAAGGUGAGCAUGGAGACUGAAAAACUCAAAAAGUGUGUGUUGUCUAUCAGCUUCUUCUCUCGUAUAAACGAGAACGGAGUUAAAUAACAGCACUACAUUU